rnacentral:rRNA from 1 species
GACGAACGCUGGCGGCGUGCUUAACACAUGCAAGUCGAACGGUAAGGCCCUUCGGGGUACACGAGUGGCGAACGGGUGAGUAACACGUGGGUGAUCUGCCCUGCACUUCGGGAUAAGCCUGGGAAACUGGGUCUAAUACCGGAUAGGACCACUGCCUGCAUGGGUGGGGGUGGAAAGCUUUUGCGGUGUGGGAUGGGCCCGCGGCCUAUCAGCUUGUUGGUGGGGUGAUGGCCUACCAAGGCGACGACGGGUAGCCGGCCUGAGAGGGUGGCCGGCCACACUGGGACUGAGAUACGGCGCAGACUCCUAGGGGAGGCAGCAGUGGGGAAUAUUGCACAAUGGGCGCAAGCCUGAUGCAGCGACGCCGCGUGAGGGAUGACGGCCUUCGGGUUGUAAACCUCUUUCAGCACCGACGAAGCGCAAGUGACGGUAGGUGCAGAAGAAGGACCGGCCAACUACGUGCCAGCCGCCGCAGUAA